UACGUAGGGGGCAAGCGUUGUCCGGAAUCAUUGGGCGUAAAGAGCGUGUAGGCGGCUCGAUAAGUCUGCUGUGAAAGUCCAGGGCUCAACCCUGGAAGGCCGGUGGAAACUGUCGGGCUAGAGUCCGGAAGAGGCGAGUGGAAUUCCCGGUGUAGCGGUGAAAUGCGCAGAUAUCGGGAGGAACACCAGUGGCGAAGGCGGCUAUCUGGGCUGGCACUGACGCUGAGGCGCGAAGGCUAGGGGAGCAAACAGG
rnacentral:rRNA from 1 species